rnacentral:rRNA from 1 species
UAUUGCACAAUGGGCGAAAGCCUGAUGCAGCGACGCCGCGUGAGUGAAGAAGUAUUUCGGUAUGUAAAGCUCUAUCAGCAGGGCAGAAAGACCUCGUAAGAGGGGAUGACGGUAUCUGAGUAAGAAGCCACGGCUAACUACGUGCCAGCAGCCGCGGUAAUACGUAGGGGGCAAGCGUUAUCCGGAUUUACUGGGUGUAAGGGAGCGUAGACGGUGUAUCAAGUCUGAAGUGAAACCCCACGGCUCAACCGUGGGCUUGCUUUGGAAACUGGUAGACUAGAGUACUGGAGAGGUAAGCGGAAUUCCUGGUGUAGUAGUGAAAUGCGUAGAUAUCAGGAAGAACAUCAGUGGCGAAGGCGGCUUACUGGACAGCAACUGACGUUGAGGCUCGAAGGCGUGGGGAGCAAACAGG